rnacentral:rRNA from 1 species
GACGAAGGGGCUAGCGUUGUUCGGAAUUACUGGGCGUAAAGCGCGUGUAGGCGGUUAUCCAAGUCGGGUGUGAAAGCCUUGAGCUCAACUCAAGAAAUGCACUCGGUACUGGGUGACUAGAGGACCGGAGAGGAUAGUGGAAUUCCCAGUGUAGUGGUGAAAUACGUAGAGAUUGGGAAGAACACCAGUGGCGAAGGCGGCUAUCUGGACGGUUUCUGACGCUAAGACGCGAAAGCGUGGGGAGCAAACAGGG